AAUAUAGUUGAGGUGGGCGGAAUGUGUAAUGUACCCGGUGAAAUGCUUAGAUAUUACACAGAACACCAAUUGCGAAGGCAGCUCACUAAACUAAUAUUGACGCUGAGGCACGAAAGCGUGGGUAGCAAACAGGAUUAGAUACCCUGGUAGUCCACGCUGUAAACUAUGAUCACUCGCUGUUGGCAAUACAUCGUCAGCGGCUGAGCGAAAGCAUUAAGUGAUCCACCUGGGGAGUACGGUCGCAAGAUUGAAACUCAAAGGAAUUGACGGGGGCCCGCACAAGCGGAGGAACAUGUGGUUUAAUUCGAUGAUACGCGAGGAACCUUACCUGGGCUUAAAUGCAGAGCGACGUCCGCCGAAAGGUGGAUUCCUUCGGGCGAUCUGCAAGGUGCUGCAUGGUUGUCGUCAGCUCGUGCCGUGAGGUGUCGGGUUAAGUCCCAUAACGAGCGCAACCCUUAUCGUUAGUUGCCAGCGGGUAAUGCCGGGGACUCUAACGAAACUGCCGGUGUAAACCGUGAGGAAGGUGGGGAUGACGUCAAAUCAGCACGGCCCUUAUGUCCAGGGCUACACACGUGUUACAAUGGUCGGUACAGAGGGCAGCUACCACGCGAGUGGAUGCUAAUCUCGAAAACCGGUCUCAGUUCGGAUUGAAGUCUGCAACUCGACUUCAUGAAGCUGGAUUCGCUAGUAAUCGCGCAUCAGCCAUGGCGCGGUGAAUACGUUCCCGGGCCUUGUACACACCGCCCGUCAAGCCAUGGAAGCUUGGGGUACCUGAAGUCCGUAACCGCAAGGAGCGCACUAGGGUAAGACAAGUGACUGGGGCUAAGUCGUAACAAG
rnacentral:rRNA from 1 species